rnacentral:tRNA from 1 species
UCCUGGUGGCUCAGACAGUAAAGCAUCUGCCUGCAAUGUGGGAGACCUGGGUUCAAUCCCCAGGUCAGGAA